rnacentral:lncRNA from 1 species
AAAAAUUGAGAGGUGCAACAAUUGUUAUCAAGCUUACAAUUGUCUUAUAAGAAUUUACAAAGGAGAUUAUUUGUCGAUAUGCAUAUGCCAUAAUUAUUAUAUAAGAAUACAAUUAUUUUGGUAUUGGAAAGGAUUUUGUUGAAUGCAAAAUUAUGAAGACUAUGAUGUUUUGAGAAAUUAAAAUGGAAUGUUGAUAAGAUGAU